AUGAGGAAUGAGGAAGGUCUCCGGCCGGACGAUAUCACUUUCAUAGGAGUGCUUUCUGCUUGUGUGCACGCAGGGUUGCUGAAAGACGGCCAGCGUUGGUUCAGUUACCUGAUAUCCGAGUUCCAAAUCGUUCCCAAGGUCGAGCACUACUCCUGCAUGGUUGAUUUAUUGGCACGUGCCGGACAUUUAGAAGAAGCAUGGGAUUUCAUCGAGGAGAUGCAGAUCAACUGCAGUAUUGCAGUCUUACUGAAAUCUGCUUUCAGGAUUGGUAUUCAUGUCAAGGAGGCCGACAAAUUUUCAGGACUCUAG
rnacentral:rRNA from 1 species